UCCUUUGGUCCUAAAAGUAGGGAAAUG
rnacentral:sRNA from 1 species